ensembl:snRNA U6 U6 spliceosomal RNA
GUUCUCUCUCGUGCAGUAUAUACUUUAAAAUUUGAAUGAUACAGAGAAUAUCAGCAUCAUCCCUGUGCAAAAGAUCACAUGGAAAUUCAUAAGAUAUUUCUUUAUAAU